rnacentral:rRNA from 1 species
GACGAACGCUGGCGGCGUGCUUAACACAUGCAAGUCGAACGGAAAGGCCCUGCUUUUGUGGGGUGCUCGAGUGGCGAACGGGUGAGUAACACGUGAGUAACCUGCCCUUGACUUUGGGAUAACUUCAGGAAACUGGGGCUAAUACCGGAUAGGAGCUCCUGCUGCAUGGUGGGGGUUGGAAAGUUUCGGCGGUUGGGGAUGGACUCGCGGCUUAUCAGCUUGUUGGUGGGGUAGUGGCUUACCAAGGCUUUGACGGGUAGCCGGCCUGAGAGGGUGACCGGCCACAUUGGGACUGAGAUACGGCCCAGACUCCUACGGGAGGCAGCAGUGGGGAAUAUUGCACAGUGGGCGGAAGCCUGAUGCAGCAACGCCGCGUGCGGGAUGACGGCCUUCGGGUUGUAAACCGCUUUCGCCUGUGACGAAGCGUGAGUGACGGUAAUGGGUAAAGAAGCACCGGCUAGCUACGUG